AGGUUUAGAUAGCCGGCAAGAUGUAGGCAUAGCCGAAAAACAUAUUGCGGCUAUGUCACAUCCAGCCAUCUCUCGAA
rnacentral:pre_miRNA from 13 species